rnacentral:tRNA from 1 species
GGGCCCGUAGCUCAGCCAGGCAGAGCGCCGGGCUCCAGACCCGCCCGGUCCGCUCCGGGUCUGUCGACCCGUGCGCGGGAUGAGAGAGGUCUGGCGCGGGAGAGACCCGGAGGUCCGGGGUUCGAAUCCCCGCGGGCCCA